AAUGAACGCUGGCGGCAUGCCUAACACAUGCAAGUCGAACGAGACCUUCGGGUCUAGUGGCGCACGGGUGCGUAACGCGUGGGAACAUGCCCUUAGGUUCGGAAUAACUCCCCGAAAGGGGUGCUAAUACCGGAUAAUGUCUUCGGACCAAAGAUUUAUCGCCUUUGGAUGGGCCCGCGUUGGAUUAGCUAGUUGGUAGGGUAAAAGCCUACCAAGGCGACGAUCCAUAGCUGGUUUGAGAGAAUGAUCACCCACACUGGGACUGAGACACGGCCCAGACUCCUACGGGAGGCAGCAGUGGGUAAUAUUGGACAAUGGGCGAAAGCCUGAUCCAGCAAUGCCGCGUGAGUGAUGAAGGCCUUAGGGUUGUAAAGCUCUUUUACCCGGGAUGAUAAUGACAGUACCGGGAGAAUAAGCUCCGGCUAACUCCGUG
rnacentral:rRNA from 1 species